rnacentral:rRNA from 1 species
AACGAACGCUGGCGGCGUGGAUAAGACAUGCAAGUCGAACGGGGGCUGUAGCAAUACAGAUGCUGGCGACCGGCAAACGGGUGCGUAACACGUACGCAACCUUCCCGUUACUGGGGAAUAGCCCAGGGAAACUUGGAUUAAUACCCCAUAUUAUAUUGGUUAGGCAUCUGACUGAUAUCAAAGCUUCGGCGGUAACGGAUGGGCGUGCGGUUGAUUAGGUAGUUGGCGGGGUAACGGCCCACCAAGCCUACGAUCAAUAGCUGAUGUGAGAGCAUGAUCAGCCACACGGGCACUGAGACACGGGCCCGACUCCUACGGGAGGCAGCAGUGAGGAAUAUUGGGCAAUGGACGAAAGUCUGACCCAGCCAUGCCGCGUGAAGGAUGAAGGUCCUCUGGAUUGUAAACUUCUUUUAUCUGGGGCGAAAAUCGGUUAUUCUUAGCCGCUUGACAGUACCAGAUGAAUAAGCACCGGCUAACUCCGUGCCAGCCGCCGCGGUAAAAC